AAAAAAAAUCUAUCUUCUUCUUCGUUCGCUCUUCCUCCGCUGCGUCGCCAUGUCAUCCGCCCGCGAUGCCGGCCAAUAGUUCAUGGAGCUAUCCGAGAAAAUGAGGAGCGACUAACACUCCCGUAUGAACAGCGAAGCGUCGGUGAUGUUGCCGCGGAUUGGGAUCCCUCAACACGGGCCUACAUUAAACAACGCUGCAAUUUCGUGUUAAUUGAAACAAUAUUCCAUGUCCAGCAUGGCAGCAUCUAACCCUAAUAUUUUCCAGGGACACCACAUCUCUCUAUCCCGACCUGGACUCCCCUCUCACUCGGCGAAUCCGUGGUCGUCUAUUUCAUGAGAUCUUUGAUUCUACCUGCCUGUCCCACCUACAUGGUUCUGCGACGGAUUUCUGCUUCCCGUCUGAUGCACUGCCAAGUUGCUCUCCUCUGCCGAAUUGGGUUUGGCAUGGUCGUCAUGAUCAGAGCAAUACAUGAUGAACUAUUGCACAUAUUUUUGUCGAGAUUGUUUUUUUUUUCGAGAUUGUUCUAUUGCACAUAUGAAGCAACGAUACACAAGGAAAGGAAAAGGAGAGGCUCACUUCUAUCUUAUGAGAGAGGUAGAAGUACAAGACUGCUGGACUUUCUACCAGAAUAUUGAACUGAAGAUGCUCCUGCAGAACAUGGAGCAACACGUACAAUUGCAAGCUCUCAACCAUCCCUAAAAUGGGAUUUCUAUCAACGUCGGAGAGGUGAAGGAGUUCAUUGUUUUUCCGUGCGCAUAGACUAUUUUUCUGUUGUUCACUAAGGCACGUUGAGCAAGGAGAGCAGAGGGAGAUGACAUGGUCAGCCAUAACACCACACUAUCCUUGAUGGGCAGCUAGGAUGGUUCAGGUGGUGGAGCUUUCAGGCUGCACCCAUCCUGCAUAUUGUGUUCUUGGAAAACGAUACAGCAAGUGUGCUGGUUGAUCAUGAUCCAUUAGAAUUCCAAAGUAAAAAAGGAUUCGGUUGGUGAAAUAAUAGUACUUCAUCCAUUCUUCUUCAAUGAUAUGGCCUUAUCAAUGACAUUGAAUUUCUCGGGCAAUGAAGAGAAAAGACUGCAUUCGUUCAUUCUAUGAAUCAGACAGACAACUAUAUGUACUCAGUUUCCAAUUUUGGCUAUUUUAUGUGUUAUAAUACAUAAUAUUUUGGCCAGGGUGCAGACAAUUGAUAUGCUGUAAUGCUUUCUUGCAUAAUAACAUAUGCUAUUUUAUAUAUUA